rnacentral:rRNA from 1 species
GGACGAACGCUGGCGGCGUGCUUAACACAUGCAAGUCGAACGGAAAGGCCCUGCUUUUGUGGGGUGCUCGGGUGGCGAACGGGUGAGUAACACGUGAGUAACCUGCCCUUGACUUUGGGAUAACUUCAGGAAACUGGGGCUAAUACCGGAUAGGAGCUCCUGCUGCAUGGGGGGGGUUGGAAAGUUUCGGCGGUUGGGGAUGGACUCGCGGCUUAUCAGCUUGUUGGUGGGGUAGUGGCUUACCAAGGCUUUGACGGGUAGCCGGCCUGAGAGGGUGACCGGCCACAUUGGGACUGAGAUACGGCCCAGACUCCUACGGGAGGCAGCAGGGGGGAAUAUUGCACAAUGGGCGGAAGCCUGAUGCAGCAACGCCGCGUGCGGGAUGACGGCCUUCGGGUUGUAAACCGCUUUCGCCUGUGACGAAGCGUGAGUGACGGUAAUGGGUAAAGAAGCACCGGCUAACUACGUG